CUUUGGGGAACAUUCAACGCUGUCGGUGAGUUUUGUCUCCGAAAAACCAUCGACUGUUGAGUGUACCCUGACA
rnacentral:pre_miRNA from 13 species